CUCCAAAAUAAUCGUACUCCAAAGGCAGUAAUAAAAAAAUAAUUGUGCUGCAAAGAGAUGAGACAAGUACUUGCUAAGUAAGGAGGAAUAUGGGAUAGAGGCUAGCUUGGGAAUUCAAUCACUGGGAUCUGGCCGAAAGCAUGAAGGAUUUUGAUGCAGUCAGCUCAGCUGGCAACUAGCUUUAGUUGUAGGUGUCUAUUCACAGGAGAUACAAAGCUGGCCAACAACCUCAUCCUGCUCUUCGGUAUGAAAGGAGAGGAUGGAAAGUCAUCGCAAAAAGGUGCCUGUGAAAUGGAGGUUCGACUGCUCCUUGGUUGACAGCUCCCCCCCCCCCCCCCCCAAAGCGGGGAAAUAUUGCAGUUCUUUGGUAGUUGAAGAUGGAGAUUGGAAGUGAAAGGAUUUUACCUUCCCCUUGCUCGCUAACACUUCUGUGCCAUGUGUAUCCACAGAAAAUCUGACACCAGAAAAAAGAUUGCUUUUGUGGUGAGAUAGACAUUAUGAAAAAUAACUGAUUAUGCAGAAAAAGGGCAAUUUCCAUCAUGGUUCUGCUUUGGAUAACAGCAGGAACCCUUAGCAGGUGGCAAAGGAAAGGCAAGAGAAAAGAACAAGCACAUAACGAUGUUUUCCUGAUAGUUUCUCCCAGCUUCCAGUAAGUUGUGGCUCAGGGACUUCGUUCACUGGAGGUGGUAUUUAAUAGCCUAUUAAAUGCGCUCAGUGGUCUUCCAGGCUUCUCUUCUGAUUGCAUGACAACGCAAGUGUCAUCUCUAGAAGCUUGAAAGAAAAUCUACUGAAGUAAAAGUUGAAAGGCAUGUAGGAGAGCUAGACUCCCUGUUGUCACAGGUGUGCAAUAGGAAUGGAUCACCUAACCCCUUCGUAGGCUGCUAUUUUCAAGGAGCUGAAGCCCCCACGGAUGCUUGUGCUACCUGUAACGCCUGUGAUAGCGCUCCUUGUAGCACAGAAGCCAAGCAGCCGCUCCUUGAAACGCAGCAUUUAGCAUGCCAUUUCCCUCCGACCCUUUAAUUUGACCUGCAGCCUUCUGUUAAGGGAGGUCAGAAAGGCCAACCGCUUUAGGCUGUAAUCCUUCCGACUUCUCCCCAAACGCGGUUGGCCGUUGAAAGAAUUCAGAAGGUGAAGCGUUUGUCAUUCACACUGGGCAUUCGCACGGGAUUUCUGCCACCUCUCCAGGAGCUGAGCCUUCCCAGUGCCAGAGCCCCCUGCCCAGACCCUGAGAGCGAGCGUGAAGAGGAGAAGGGCACCGCAGCGGCCCGGCCCGUUUGGGCUGAGGGUGGGACACAACCGCCUCAUUCAGCAGCUGCUGGUCUGAGAGUAGAGUCAUUUUCACCUUGAGAAAUGUAAUCGACCUCCCGCACCGCCACAGCUGUAACACCCGACAACGACGUUAACGCUUCCCAGACUAGGUUCUUCCUGCCCGCUCUAUUUUUCUGGUGUCUUUGUGAGUAAUAAUUAAUCGUUCUUCCCCUGAAGGCAAAAAAAAUUUUUCUAGCCUUCACAAGAGUCAACCCUUUCUCUCCGUGUGUGACAGAAUGGCAAUACUACUGAUUUUCCUUUCAAUAAUUUUUCUUUCUUUUUUGGCAAAAAGCUAUUUUUGAGCAUUAAUGGCCACAAUAUGUUCAGGUUCAUUACACAUGGCAGGUGGGCUAUUAAUUGAAAUGUGCAUUAGUGAAUUUGGAAAAUCUUUUUUACUCAGUUCCUCAGGCAGGUUUUGAUUUGCUUCCAAGUGCUCGCUCUGUGCUCCGGCUAAACAUUUGUAACGGGCUCCUCUAUAGCAACAGUUUGGAUUUCUGUUUUUUGUUGUUUUUUUUUUUUUGGGGGGGGGGGUUACUGUGUCUUUAAUGACUAUUGCAGCUGCUUUACACAUGAUUCAGUAGCAUCUCUGUUCGUAUUUAACAAUAGGAAACUGGCCCUUUAACUCACCAGUCAGGAAUAUAUCUUGAACUUGCGGCAGCAAACUGAAGUUAUGUAGUUAUCACAUUUUUGAUACAAAAGUGGGAAGUCAGAUAGACUAAGCAAUUUGUGGAUUCAAGCAUGAUGCUUGUAGCUGUCGUUAGACAUCAGUCUGCCACCCUAGUAAUUAGAUUCAAAUAGGUUUUGGUAAAAUUCAGUUGCUGUACUGUUUCUCCUAGAAAAUAUACACUAUGUUCUUACAUGUUCUUGAAUAGCAGUUUAAAAAUUAUUGAUGGAGAAUAAUUGAUGGCAUUGAUGGAGUAGUCUUAAAGAUUUUAUUUAAGGUAAUUAGGCAAAGCAAAACUUCAAAAAAAAUUAAAAAUAGUCUGUAACUGAGCAUAGAUUGCCAUUAUUUUUACUAGCAAUUGAUUUUCUGAUUGAAUAAUUCAGAUAUAGAUUCCUCAAACUCCUGAAACAACUGAUUUUGACAUGAUUUUCUAAAUCAAAAUAUUUUCAGAAUCAGUUAUAGCCAUGAGUUUUAAUUUAGCAUUUUCUUUCUCUUUCCUAACCAUCAUUUACAAUCAUUGUUGUAGAUGAAUCAUUCGUACAACUCCUCCAGGUCUCUAUCAACAUACUACAACUCUGAAAUAGGAAGUCACUUUAAGGGUGCAAGUGUAUCUUUUUGUGCCAUUCAUGCCAUUCCCAGAGCCAAAAAUAAGUAAAGUGGUAAAAAUAACAGUCUUUGCCAAUAAUGAAUCAAGGUAUAAAGAACAAUCAAUUGCCCCUGAAUAGCAAUAUUGAAGCACUGUCAGCUAAAAUACUGCCAUGUGCACCUGCUCACUCUGUCUAAAAAUAAACCUCUGGAUGGUGUCGCCACAACUGAUGAGCCUAAAAAUCUCACGUCUCUUGAGAAUAGGAUUCCUGUGUGGAAAUCUGUCUUUGUGGAAUAGUGCUGGGCAUACACGCUGUAGCCCUCGCUCCGAUCUCUUGCAGCUGUGUUGCUGCAGAGUAAUUACAGUGGAGUCAAGGCACUGAGGCACUUACAGCCUGCCCAAGCGAGUGAGAAGUCACGGAUGGGCUUUCAGAGCUCACCCUGCAGACGGGGAAAACUCUGCUGAUUUGCUAAGCCUAAUCUUGGGCCCAGGCACUGCUUGGCAGCUACUUUGUUCUUUUCCUUGUGUAACCACUGAAGGAAAGCAAAAUCUUUCACGAAAUGGGCUGUCCCGAUGCUAGCAUCAACAAGGAAUUACUUCCUUGGUUUAAUAAAUUUCUCUUCUUUGGAGAAAAUCCAAUGAUUUCGUCUAGCAAAUUGCUUACUUACCUGCAAAGCGUCAGCAUUAACCAGGACACAGAACUAACAGUGACUGUUUCAGGUAAAUUGGCCAUGUUAGGAGCCAUUUCUUUGACAGACCUAUUUUACGCACCUCAAGCUUAAUGCUAUUUGUCAUUGAUUUCAGAGAUGCAGCGUGUAGUCAUCCAGGCUUUCACAGAAUUUUGGGGUUGUAAGAAAGUUCUGUUAGAUUAUUUGAUCCGUACCAUGGCCCAUGGCAGUUUCCAAGUGAUGUACUCCUUGAAUGGAAGCAAUGCUUUCCUAGCACCCCGCCCCCCCGCUUCAAAGUCCUCUUUGUAUCCGUAAUGGCUUGUUUUCCAGAGAUGAUGAUACCCUCAGGUUCCGUGGCUCCUAAAGGAACUGGGGCUGCUCAGACCUUUUGAAAACCAGGCCAAGGAUGUACAUGUAGAGGGGCUAUUUUUAUCUUCGUAGGUAGGUCAGGGUAGGUUCAUAAUAUGCUCUGUUUAGUAAUUACAAAGUCCACAUCAGUCAGAGAGGGAGGAUGAGAAGCUAGGAUUGAGGCAGGACCAGUGUGAAGAAAGAAAUACUCAUUAGCCUAUUCCAGAAAUUUUUCAUAGAAGUGAAUAUAGCCAUGGGCUGGAAGUAGCUCUAAUGUAGAUGGUGGAGAGCGGACCUGAGCAAAGAGGAGCCUCUCCCCUGUCUUAAGACAUUAUAUCACAUGAAGUAGCACUGAUAAGGGGCACUGGAAGGGCUCCUUUACAAUCACACUACUUCAUCUGUGAUAGCUACCCACAGGAAAUUCACACGUGUAGUUUAAAGUUGCAUCCCCUUUACAAUAGAUUUGCUUAUACUAUACGCAUAUAAUGUGGGUAUAUUAGGGGGUAUAUCUCAAUGUAUCUUCGGAAGAUAUUUCAGUUAUGGAAACAAACAGCAGAACCCUGCAAGCUGAGAACUCAAGAGUUUUCCCUGUUUACUUACUGAAACUUCUUUAAUGAGUAUUUCCACACGAAUAAGAGAUGUGGAAUUAGGACCAUGCUAAAUUACAUAAAUAGGAAUAUUAAUUAUAUUAAUUAGGGGUUGCAGCCAACUGCAGAGCAACUUGCUCCUAAAGAGCUUCAGUGUGCUCUUGGGUUAAUUCUUGCAAAAUGUCCCCUAAUGCUGCAUCUGUGAGCCACUAAGCAUAUCUAAUGGCUUACUCUUGCCAUAAGGGGGAAGUCUUGGUCCUUCUCCCUUUCUCUUUUCUCAAACCCAGCAUCCUACCUUCUCUAUAGUGCUGGCUCUGGAGCUGAUUUGAUUUACUCGUGAGCUGAUUCAACUCACUGACCCAGCAGAAAACUAGGCACCUUUUUUUCCUGGGUUAUGUUUCUGCUUGGUUAGUGAACAGGCCCGGUAGGUGAAGGGAUUCAUUCAGUCCCAGAUACCAAAGUGCUCGUUGUACUCCUCCUCGUACUGCCCCACUGCUCAUUGCCUGCUGGGGGCCACCAAAAAAGUCCACCGUGAGCUGACCUGGGAACUAAUUCAACUGAAAACUAACGUCAUUACCCAGCCCGCCUACAAGCAGUGGCCCUGUUACGAUGCGCGAGAGUGGAAGGGCUCAACAGGUGACAGAGUCAGGCUAUUUCAGCUGGUGUAAGCGGAGGAGGUAAUACAUGUACGACUGCCUCCCACUGCUACUCUCUAAAAAUGUGACAUGUCAAGGGCAGCGACCUCCAUCAGCUGCUACGCCUUUGCUGCAGCUAUUAUUGUGCUAGCCUGCUGCCAAGCACUGCUAACAUCAGCCUUUUGGGCUAAAGGUUAAAUCAGGUAUUUGAGUUUUCCUGGUUUGUGAAUGGAAAAAAAAUCAGCGGAAGUGACUCAGGAGGAGGGUGGGUCACUGCUACAUACAUACAUUAUUUGUAUAUUAUACACCUAUGAUUAUAAUUGUGAAGUUGCAUAAUAUAAGCUGUAACAUAGGCUUGCUGUUGUUUCACAUAUUCUUCCUUUCCUCUUUCCUCACACUAUUUUUUACUGGCUUUUUGGCUGCACUUCGGCUCAUGCUAAAGUGUAAGGCCCUUGUGGCAGGGACCAUGUCAUUUCUGCAUCAGUGCAAUGCCUCGUCUAAUGGAGCUCUUACAGCGACAGGGGCCUUUGGGAACACUUGUCACAGAAAUGACAAGAGGGAAUAGUUUCACUCUUGUGGAGUGCAGAAUUAAUCACGUCUAAAAGUGCCUAAUUUCAGCUAGCCUUUUUGAAGGACUUUAUCUUUUCCUCUUGCCCAUACAGCUCCUCUUCCCAUCCUAUCUGCCAGCUACCAUUGCCUUUGGACAGUGACUCUUUGCCUCACGCACACAGACACAUGGAGGCAGCCCUGCCACACACCUGCCGUGACUCCAUGGCCGGUGUUUCUCCUUUGGGAAAGCUGCCUCCAUUCCAUGGUCCUCUGCACCUCUCCUUUUCCUCCUGCUAUUUUCCUGUGUGCUGCAAACAAACAGUAUUUAGAGCAAACCACUUUCCUUGAUUACUGUUUAAAAGAGAAAUGUAACUGUUUUAUUCCUGAAUACAGAGGAAGACAAAUUAAGCCAAAUGGGAGCUGGAGUUGGAGGGCAAAGGGGAGGUAGGAGGCGGGACAGAAGGGAAGGAACAGGCAAAGCAGAGCUGCCCUUUGCCUUUGCGAAUGUCUUAGGCUUAGUUAAUAUACAUGAGCACAGGUUAAGAUGAGCAUAUAAACUGAUACGGUAAGACCCUUUUUAUACCUUACAUAGGGACUCUUGUUUAACAUCAAGUAUAUGGUUUUUGAUUUAGCUUAUGUUGCCGGAAGGGUUUAAAACUAAUUGAAUCCAAAUCAACUAAGUUUCUAGAGGGCUGGGGAUGUUCGCAGUGGGCUGGAGAAAUGUAAAGUUUCUACUGGUUUCAGUAUACUGGCAUGUCUUAUACAACCUUUAUGAAGGCUUGAGCAAAGUUGCUUUUUGCUGAUGACAUCACACUGUGCCAAAACGUACAAGCUGAAGUGACAGAAGUACUUGAACAUUGGUUCUCAAUCAUUCUGGACCUAUGCUUCACUGUUAGCCUCCAAAAUUUCCUACUAAUCACAAGGCAUCACUAUUGUCACACUUCACACUGAAAAUACUACAAACACACAACAUGUCUAUGAUAGCCGACCAGAGCUUCAUGGGACCCCACGAUUCUUGAGCAGAGUUUGGGAACCACACGCUGGUCUGGCAUGAUGGAAGACUGAAUUAGAACAAAAGCAUGUAAUGAAGUAGCUUGUUAAAGUCUAGGUGUGUGCAAUCUUCAUUGCCUGGGACAGCAUGAAACCAACACAUUUGGAUGGGAAAGAAAAAUCCAUUCAGAUACUUGGGUUCAUUAAAGAGUCACCAUGUGGGAUGUGGAUGCAGAUGUUAAUGUUUCACAAAGAGUCCUUGUUACUAAUGGAAGGAUUUGAUGGGAAUUCUGGGCAAGAAGGACAGGCAAAGGAAACUAGAGAACGAACUCUAAAAAACCAUCAUUAGGCCAGCUACAAUGAGCUGGGUAGCAGAGUGGCCAGCAAGGAACAGAGAAGAAACAUUACACCAGAUUGAUAAAAUGACAAUAAUCCGUUGGAUAUUACACGAGCUGACAGACUACCUAAUAGAAUAAUAUGCAUUUAUUUGCAGCAGGCUCUGCUGACAACAGAGAUGGGCUAGAUUCUGCAAGAUUAGACAUGGGCCAUGUUGCCUAGUGAGCGAAGACCGCUCAGAAAAAAAACAAACAAAUUGACAAAAGAACCCAACUGCUGGAAAUGCUGAAAGCUGAUGGGAAGAAAGGAUGAGUUCACACCACUCAUUGGAUGGAUGUGCACGGAGCCAAUAAACUGAGCUAUAAUCUUGCUAAAGCUUAGGUAGGGAUGAAAACGAUGAUGGGAGUGCUGUAUCAGGUUAAAAACAAAACAAAAGAGAAACCACUUCCCUGCAUGGGUAAGUCCUCACUCUGUAAGCAUCAAACUCAGAUUCAGGCUCACACCUUGAGCCAGCCACAUACGUAACACAUAUAUUACUGUAAAAGGGAACACAGGGCUUGAAUUUAUACUCAGGAAAGUUAAUAAGAAACUCAUUGGGUGCUAGAUCAGUCCUUAUAUGCGAGUGGAAACUUACAGUAAUUGUACAAUUUCCCUUAAAAAAUCCCCAGAGAUCUAAGCUAGGCAUUUUGCCUUUGCAGCCUUUCCUGCCUCUGCCCUUACAGUACUUUUCACUCAAAUACUUCAUACUGUGAAAUACGGUUAUUUCUUCCACUGAA